rnacentral:rRNA from 1 species
GGCCUAACACAUGCAAGUCGAGCGGUAGAGAGAAGCUUGCUUCUCUUGAGAGCGGCGGACGGGUGAGUAAUACCUAGGAAUCUGCCUGAUAGUGGGGGAUAACGUUCGGAAACGGACGCUAAUACCGCAUACGUCCUACGGGAGAAAGCAGGGGACCUUCGGGCCUUGCGCUAUCAGAUGAGCCUAGGUCGGAUUAGCUAGUUGGUGAGGUAAUGGCUCACCAAGGCUACGAUCCGUAACUGGUCUGAGAGGAUGAUCAGUCACACUGGAACUGAGACACGGUCCAGACUCCUACGGGAGGCAGCAGUGGGGAAUAUUGGACAAUGGGCGAAAGCCUGAUCCAGCCAUGCCGCGUGUGUGAAGAAGGUCUUCGGAUUGUAAAGCACUUUAAGUUGGGAGGAAGGGCAGUUACCUAAUACGUGAUUGUCUUGACGUUACCGACAGAAUAAGCACCGGCUAACUCUGUGCCAGCAGCCGCGGUAAUACAGAGGGUGCAAGCGUUAAUCGGAAUUACUGGGCGUAAAGCGCGCGUAGGUGGUUUGUUAAGUUGAAUGUGAAAUCCCCGGGCUCAACCUGGGAACUGCAUCCAAAACUGGCAAGCUAGAGUAUGGUAGAGGGUAGUGGAGUUUCCUGUGUAGCGGUGAAAUGCGUAGAUAUAGGAAGGAACACCAGUGGCGAAGGCGACUACCUGGACUGAUACUGACACUGAGGUGCGAAAG